UGUUGGAAUACAGCGUCAUAGUGGUGAGAACCCCGUAACUGAUGCGGAUGCCCGGUGCUUUGUGAUACACUUUCGAAGAGUCGAGUUGUUUGGGAAUGCAGCUCAAAUUGGGUGGUAAAUUCCAUCUAAAGCUAAAUAUUGGCGAGAGACCGAUAGCGAACAAGUACCGUGAGGGAAAGAUGAAAAGCACUUUGGAAAGAGAGUUAACAGUACGUGAAAUUGUUGGAAGGGAAACGCAUGAGGUCAGACUUGCUAUUUGGAAUUCAGCCGCAAGGUGUACUUUUCAAUUCGCAGGCCAGCAUCAGUUUUCGGGGGUGGAAAAGGGUAGAGAGAAGGUAGCUGUUUCGGCAGUGUUAUAGCUCUUUGCUGGAUUCAUCCUUGGGGACUGAGGAACGCAGCGCGCUUUUUGCAAGGCU
rnacentral:rRNA from 1 species